rnacentral:rRNA from 1 species
CUUGGUCAUUUAGAGGAAGUAAAAGUCGUAACAAGGUUUCCGUAGGUGAACCUGCGGAAGGAUCAUUAUUGAAAUAAACCUGAUGGGUUGUUGCUGGUUCUCUAGGGAGCAUGUGCACACCUUGUCAUCUUUAUAUCUCCACCUGUGCACCUUUUGUAGACCUUUCAGGUCUAUGUUGCUUCAUUUACCCCAAUGUAUGUUAAUAGAAUGUUGUGCCUAUAUAAUAUAUACAACUUUCAGCAACGGAUCUCUUGGCUCUCGCAUCGAUGAAGAACGCAGCGAAAUGCGAUAAGUAAUGUGAAUUGCAGAAUUCAGUGAAUCAUCGAAUCUUUGAACGCACCUUGCGCUCCUUGGUAUUCCGAGGAGCAUGCCUGUUUGAGUGUCAUUAAUAUAUCAACCUUCUCUUUUUGAGUGGUUUGGAUGUGGGGGUUUGCUGGCCUCUUAAAAGGUCUUGGCUCUCCUGAAAUACAUUAGCAGAACAACCCUGUUCAUUGGUGUGAUAACUAUCUACGCUAUUGAAUGUGAAGGGCAGUUUGGCUUUCUAACAGUCCUUGGACAAGCUCAUCAUUAAUGUGACCUCAAAUCAGGUAGGACUACCCGCUGAACUUAAGCAUAUCAAUAAGCGGAGGA